rnacentral:rRNA from 1 species
AGUGAACGCUGGCGGUAGGCCUAACACAUGCAAGUCGAACGGCAGCACAGGAGAGCUUGCUCUCUGGGUGGCGAGAGGCGGACGGGUGAGGAAUACAUCGGAAUCUACUCUGUCGUGGGGGAUAACGUAGGGAAACUUACGCUAAUACCGCAUAUGACCUACGGGUGAAAGCAGGGGACCUUCGGGCCUUGCGCGAUUGAAUGAGCCGAUGUCGGAUUAGCUAGUUGGCGGGGUAAAGGCCCACCAAGGCGACGAUCCGUAGCUGGUCUGAGAGGAUGAUCAGCCACACUGGAACUGAGACACGGUCCAGACUCCUACGGGAGGCAGCAGUGGGGAAUAUUGGACAAUGGGCGCAAGCCUGAUCCAGCCGUACCGCGUGGGUGAAGAAGGCCUUCGGGUUGUAAAGCCCUUUUGUUGGGAAAGAAAUCCAGCUGGCUAAUACCCGGUUGGGAUGACGGUACCCAAAGAAUAAGCACCGGCUAACUUCGUGCCAGCAGCCGCGGUAA